AAAUAUUUCUCUAAGUUUGUAAACUUGCAGUGACUCAUGCUAGUAAAUGAUAUUAAGUAAAAUAUGGAACUAAAAAAAAUAAAUAAAAAAUACAUGUUACAAAUUAAAAAUUGUAUUCAAGCUUCAAUUAGAGUGCACAAUUGUGUACAGUUACGUUAAAACAUCUUUAAUGCAAAAUACCAUGCAGAAAACAUUACAAAAACAAACGUUGCAAAAGUGUGAAAUAUUUAAAUCAGCCUAUGAGAAAGGGCUUAAGAAGUACUUAAGAAAAAUCACUGUGACAAUUUUUUUACUGCUCUUUUUAUUUUUUUAAAUUCAGUUAUAUUUGUUUUCAAAUUUUUUUUAUACUUAUUUGUAAUGUUUUUCUAUGUAAUUUUUCUGUAAUGUGCUUUCAACCAAAUAUAAUGCUCCAUCAUAGUUUUAAUGCCUGUGUAUUAUUUUCAUGGUUUUUAAUUUGUUUUGAUUUUUUGAAUCUCUCUUAUACUUAUCAAUCUUUAUAUCAUAAUAUUAAUUACUUGUAGGACCCAUCUUCACUGUGCUGCUUCUUGAAAUAAUUCACCUUUAAUGAAUUUUUUUGCUGUAAAAAGAUGAUCAACUUGCCUGGGAGAGGAUGAAGAAUACUCUGAAUACCUCUACAGGGCUAGAAUAACCUGACUUGCCAUGCUGAACAGUUUCCCUUUCUCCGCCAAACUGUCUCAAUGUCAAAAGGAUG